UCCAGACCGAACUAAACCGACCAACCGAAUCAAAAAAAUCGAAAACCGAAUAAAUCGAAAAAAAUAUGUUUUGCUGUUUUUAUUGCGGUUUGGUUCGGUUUUUGGUUCUGACAAUGAAAACCCUAACCGAACAACCGAACCGGUAAGGUAAAAAACCCUAAAAAAAACAAGCCCAUCCCACCCCCAAAUGAACGUAACCUAGCCUACCCAGUAACCCCCAAGCCUCACCCCCAAAUGAAGUACGAAACCUAGCCGCUCUCUCCCUAGGUCUCACAACCUCGCUCUUUGCACAUCCCAACUGUGGCGAGGGACCAUUCCACCCAUCACCUCGAGAGUUGUCAAUGGUAGCUCCUAGUGGUACUGAAACUAAUACUGUGAUUAGAAUCAAGAAACCCUAACUUGAGUCAAUAGCAUGCAGAAGGUUGGUUUGCGUUAAGAAGUUUAGCUGUUUUGUUGGAGAAGACAUCAUAACUUGGCUAUCUUUUAAUGGAAACUUAUUUUUAUUUU